rnacentral:rRNA from 1 species
UACAGAGGAUGCAAGCGUUAUCCGGAAUGAUUGGGCGUAAAGCGUCUGUAGGUGGCUUUUUAAGUCCGCCGUCAAAUCCCAGGGCUCAACUCUGGACAGGCGGUGGAAACUACCAAGCUGGAGUACGGUAGGGGCAGAGGGAAUUUCCGGUGGAGCGGUGAAAUGCGUAGAGAUCGGAAAGAACACCAACGGCGAAAGCAGCUUACUGGGUUACUUCUGACACUGAGAUGCGAAAGCGUGGGGAGCGAACGGG